GGGAAUGUGACUUAGUGGUACAGUGCUUGCUUGGCAUGCAUGAAGUCUUGGGUUUGAUUCCUCAGUACCA
rnacentral:tRNA from 1 species